CAACACACCAUUGGCCAUUGCUGUCUCACGAGUCACGACGAUGCCCAAUGUCGUCGUUUUGCUUUCUUUUUACAAAUCCUCCUCCUCCUCCUCCUCUUCCGCCACCCUCAUGUCUUAUGUCAUCAAUCUUUAUCAAUGACGUGGACGUCUAGUUAACAAAGCAGUUCCCACGUGUCGCAUAUGGGUUUGUUUUUAAUGCCAACAUUUCUUGUUGUUUUUGUUUUUGGACCUGUCUAUUUAUUUUAAUCCUCUUAUUCGUUUGAUCUUACGUUUUUUUUGUGUUAAAAGUAUAUUGAAAAAAGGAUGUUGUGGUUGAUUGGAUUUUGUCAUUGGGAUUAGUGAAGAGUUUAUCAGAGAUGAAUGAUCCCGUUUCCUUGGUUAUGAUAAAGUAAUUUAGGACAUAGAAACCAUUAUUUUGUAUGAAUAGCAGCUCACUAGAUUUAGGUCAUGACAUUAUGGUGGUUGUGUACUUGUGUUGUUGAGUAGAGAGAAGAGGACUUCACGAGAACUGGAAGGAAAUCAAUAUGGAUGGACAGUGUUCGGCCCUAUCAUAUUGGAUUAUAUUAUUCAUUCUUUGGGCCUUCCUUAUACGUUGUCGCUCAUAUACGUUGUCACAAAAACUAAAAUUCGCUUACGUUUGUGUUUUCAUGUGUUACUACACGGCGGGAGUAAAUUGUUUUCGUGAAUGGAGCAAACGAUUAAACAUAUCGAGCAUAGAACAUACAAUACAUGUUUACAGAAGAGAUGGUUUACAGUUUUCUGUGCCGUGCGAUGGGUAAAGAGGCGAAACCAAGUGGCCUAAUACGUUUUUUCAUUGGCGUAAAGGUACUGCUCUCGUGUGUAUAGGACAUGCUCCGAUUAGGAUGAUAUAUACGGGUGAUUUCUUCAAUGAGCGAAGCCGAAGGUAGUGCAAUUCUUUAAGUGUGAAGACGAGCAUCCCUUUGCUUCCUUAUGAAAUAAAAUGAACUUAUGUGAUGGUACUGGUAUAUUCUGACGAUGAGAGUUGUGUUGUUUCAAGAAGGAGACCAAAGCUUUUGAAGCAAAACCACUGAAGAUUGUCGAUGGAGUGAGCCUGAUAGUGGGGGAGAAGACAUACCAAACUUCGGAGAUGUACGGAAAGACUAAGAAGGGAUGUUAUGAAAACAUAAAUGUGAUAAAAAAAAAAAAGUACAAAAAAAAACAAUCGAGGCUUAAAAUGUCUUAGCUUGUUGACGAGCGACACAAAACCAUCUUUUCUUUUGUUCAACACAACCAUCUUUAAUUAACUAUUUAAUCAGGUAAUUU